UGAAUGAUUCUUCAAUGAUUAACCGGGUAGUAAACCCUAUGUUUGAAGCAGCUUUUCAACUUGAUCCUAAUGGUUCUGAUUUUGGCAAGGACAAAUCAUUGAAGUUCCUGCAGCUCUGGAUCUAUCGAAGGCCAAAAUUCUCAUGGAAAAACUUCAGGAGCAUACAAAUGGUGAGUGAUG